GGGUCCCUGUUUUGUCUUGUUGGUUGGGGUGGGGGGCAAGGUCUCGCGCUAGUGUGUUGUCUCGCCAUCGUCAAGGACCCGGCAAGGGCGGGGCCGGCCGCGGUACCUGAAGCAGAAGCACCUCUUCGAGGAGCACCCGGAGGACCGCCGGCACCACCCGCGGUAGCACCACAGGUUCUAGGCCCCGGCGUUCGACUCCGACGGCGGCCCGGGGAAGGGCCAGGGGUAGAAGCCGUUGACCGACGUCCAGCCGCUGCUGGACUUGGUGGCGUUGGACCGCCGCUACCGCGCGUUCAAGCCGCUCCAGAAGGAGGAGGCGUACCCGGUCGCGUUGGACCACCACCAGAGGAGCGGCGGCGACCGCGCGCUCCACGAGGUGUGCGUCCCGCACCUCAAGCCCAGGGCGUGGGCGUUGCACCACAAGCUGUAGAAGUGGCCGCUCCCGGUCCUGUACCACAAGUGGCACAUGCCGCUGGUGACCGCUUUCUACGCCGCGUAGUACUGCCACGGGAAGAAGUGGUUGUUCCACCACGUCGUCAUGGCCGGGCCCACCCUCCGGCUCCGCCGGAAGCACCACCUGUUGCAGGCGCGGCUGGGGUCCCGGCGGUGGCUGCCGCAGCACGAGGCGGCGGUGGACGUCGAGUACUACAUGUUGUUGUACAUGGCGUAGUACAAGCUGGCCGCCAAGCUCUCGUACCUGCUGGGCGACAAGGAGGCGGAGGCCCGCGAGUUGCCGCUCGCGUCGGCGGAGCGCGUCUCGAAGCUCAUGUUGAUGCCGCUGAAGUAGGGGUAGGAGGCGGGGAAGGAGGCGCCGAUGGAGGCCGAGACGUUCCUCCAGUUCCUCUGGGCGGAGUUCGAGAAGUUCCUAAUGAAGGACCUGCUCUCCUUCUUCGACCACUCGUGGUUCCGGUACCUGUUGUUGCCACCCGAGUUCACGCGGUAACUAGUGUAGGACCUCCGACUCGUCUUCCCCCUCUAGUUGCUCCUGUUGCAGGAGAUGUAGUAGCUCUUGUAGUUGCAGCGGCGCUAGCUCUGCUGCGACACCAGCUAGCUCACCCCCGACCGCCUCGACCACUUGGUGGGCCUCUAGGUCGUCUUCGACGCCCUGCUCUACCUGCGCCACGACCCGCAGCCCGUGGUCUAGUGCCUCGGCCUGUGCGUGUCCGAGGGGAUGGACGUCCGCCACUAGUUCCUCUGCGAGGCCGACGCGUACCGGUAGGGCGACGACCACGGGGUGUACUUGGAGGUGCUGCGGUUCGAGCGGCCGAUGUUGUAGGGGCGGCUCUCGUUCUAGGAGCAGUUGCGGACCAAGGAGCGGUUGUUGGGGCUCGUCACCUUCGCCGGGCUGCUCAAGGCGGGGCUCUCCAAGGAGCUCCUCCUCUUCGUGCACCUCCGGUUGCCGUUGCUGAAGUCCAUGGACGGGAAGCCGCAGCCGGCAGCCUCGACGGGGCCGUAGUAGGAGCGCGAGGGGUAGGAGCCGUAGUGGUAGCCGGCGGAGCAGGUCUUGAAGCACGAGAGCGGCGGCGGGCCGGUCCUGUUCGAACUGUGCUGACUCUUCCCGCCGGUCAAGUCGGAGGUGUAGGAGUUCGUGAGGUGGUAGCACCGGUUCGGGUCCCACAAGAUCUCGUCGCGGCACGGCCUGAUAGACAGUGUCUCAUCUGUGUGCAAAGCAAUUACAAUAGGCGUUCUUUGUCUCCUCGACUUCUUUCCGGUUUGGACUACGACGCUAUUUAAUUUCAAUUUAAGAACUUUAGAACUACUAAAAAAGUAUUUGCUUUAUUGAGAGGGAGACAACAUUAAAAGAACUAAGUAGACAUUGCUAGUGAACACGCCUGUCAAGAACUAAUAUGCUUUUUGAACGGAUGUUGGGAUACCUUUUCCUGCGUAAGAAGAA
rnacentral:rRNA from 1 species